AGCGAACGCUGGCGGCAGGCUUAACACAUGCAAGUCGAGCGGGCACUUUCGGGUGUCCGCGGCGGACGGGUGAGUAACGCGUGGGAACGUGCCCUCUGGUUCGGAAUAACUCAGGGAAACUUGAGCUAAUACCGGAUACGCCCUUUUGGGGAAAGGCUUGCUGCCGGAGGAUCGGCCCGCGUCUGAUUAGCUAGUUGGUGAGGUAACGGCUCACCAAGGCGACGAUCAGUAGCUGGUCUUAGAGGAUGAUCAGCCACACUGGGACUGAGACACGGCCCAGACUCCUACGGGAGGCAGCAGUGGGGAAUAUUGGACAAUGGGCGCAAGCCUGAUCCAGCCAUGCCGCGUGAGUGAUGAAGGCCUUAGGGUUGUAAAGCUCUUUUAUCCGGGACGAUAAUGACGGUACCGGAGGAAUAAGCCCCGGCUAACUUCGUG
rnacentral:rRNA from 1 species